GCCCGGGUGGUGGAAUGGUAGACACUGGGGACUUAAAAUCCCCUGCCCGAAAGGGCGUGCGGGUUCGAGUCCCGCCCCGGGCA
rnacentral:tRNA from 1 species